rnacentral:rRNA from 1 species
AGAGUUUGAUCCUGGCUCAGGACGAACGCUGGCGGCGCGCCUAACACAUGCAAGUCGAACGAGCGAGAGAGAGCUUGCUUUCUCGAGCGAGUGGCGAACGGGUGAGUAACGCGUGAGGAACCUGCCUCAAAGAGGGGGACAACAGUUGGAAACGACUGCUAAUACCGCAUAAGCCCACGGGUCGGCAUCGAGCAGAGGGAAAAGGAGCAAUCCGCUUUGAGAUGGCCUCGCGUCCGAUUAGCUAGUUGGUGAGGUAACGGCCCACCAAGGCGACGAUCGGUAGCCGGACUGAGAGGUUGAACGGCCACAUUGGGACUGAGACACGGCCCAGACUCCUACGGGAGGCAGCAGUGGGGAAUAUUGCACAAUGGGGGAAACCCUGAUGCAGCGACGCCGCGUGGAGGAAGAAGGUCUUCGGAUUGUAAACUCCUGUUGUUGAGGAAGAUAAUGACGGUACUCAACAAGGAAGUGACGGCUAACUACGUGCCAGCAGCCGCGGUAAAACGUAGGUCACAAGCGUUGUCCGGAAUUACUGGGUGUAAAGGGAGCGCAGGCGGGAAGACAAGUUGGAAGUGAAAUCCAUGGGCUCAACCCAUGAACUGCUUUCAAAACUGUUUUUCUUGAGUAGUGCAGAGGUAGGCGGAAUUCCCGGUGUAGCGGUGGAAUGCGUAGAUAUCGGGAGGAACACCAGUGGCGAAGGCGGCCUACUGGGCACCAACUGACGCUGAGGCUCGAAAGUGUGGGUAGCAAACAGGAUUAGAUACCCUGGUAGUCCACACUGUAAACGAUGAUUACUAGGUGUUGGAGGAUUGACCCCUUCAGUGCCGCAGUUAACACAAUAAGUAAUCCACCUGGGGAGUACGACCGCAAGGUUGAAACUCAAAGGAAUUGACGGGGGCCCGCACAAGCAGUGGAGUAU